CCUACGGGAGGCAGCAGUGGGGAAUAUUGCGCAAUGGGCGAAAGCCUGACGCAGCGACGCCGCGUGAGGGAUGAAGGCCUUCGGGUCGUAAACCUCUUUCAGCAGGGAAGAAGCGAAAGUGACGGUACCUGCAGAAGAAGCACCGGCUAACUACGUGCCAGCAGCCGCGGUAAUACGUAGGGUGCAAGCGUUGUCCGGAAUUAUUGGGCGUAAAGAGCUCGUAGGCGGUCUGUCGCGUCUGCUGUGAAAACUCAGGGCUUAACCCUGAGCUUGCAGUGGGUACGGGCAGACUAGAGUGCGGUAGGGGAGACUGGAAUUCCUGGUGUAGCGGUGAAAUGCGCAGAUAUCAGGAGGAACACCGGUGGCGAAGGCGGGUCUCUGGGCCGUAACUGACGCUGAGGAGCGAAAGCAUGGGGAGCGAACAGGAUUAGAUACCCUGGUAGUCCAUGCCGUAAACGUUGGGCGCUAGGUGUGGGGCUCAUUCCACGAGUUCCGUGCCGCAGCUACGCAUAGCGCCCGCCGNGGGAGGUACGGCCGCGAGGAACGUAAACGUAACGUUAAAGUUAGUAGACGNGNGAGNGCGACGACGACGACGACGGAGGAGG
rnacentral:rRNA from 1 species